AUGAGUUUGUAUCACUGUGGUACACGUUCGGUGGAGGAACCAGACUGGAUGUUGGAAGUUUUUGUACGACGACUCAAUGAGUUUGUAUCACUGUGGUGGACUUUUGGUGGAGGAACCAGACUGGAUGUUGGAAGUGAUGCCCGUCCCACCCUGACAGUGCUACCCCCCUCCAUUGAGGAGCUGGACCAGGGCAAGGCCACGCUCACGUGUCUGGCCAACAAUGGCUUCCCCUCAGACUGGAGUCUGGCCUGGAGUCUGAACUGGAAGGUGGACGGCAGCAGCAGCGUGGAGCAGAGCAGGAGCCCCGUGGUGCUGCAGAAGGACGGCCACUACAGCUGGAGCAGCACCCUGAGGCUCACUGCAGACCAGUGGAGGAAGGUGGGCUCUGUGAUCUGUGAGGCCACCCAGGGCUCCCAGGCUCCACUCUCAAAGACACUGAGGAGAGACCAGUGUUCCCAGUCCUGA